rnacentral:rRNA from 1 species
CACGUAGGUGGCAAGCGUUAUCCGGAAUCACUGGGCGUAAAGGGUCCGCAGGUGGGAUGGUACGUCUGAUGUGACAGCGCCUGGCUCAACUGGGCGUGGGCAUUGGAAACGGCUGUUCUUGAGUCACAGAGAGGGUGCGGAAUUCCGGGUGUAGUGGUGGAAUGCGUAGAGAUCCGGAGGAACACCAAAGGCGCAAGCAGCACCCUGGCUGAGGACUGACACUGAGGACGAAGGCGUGGGGAGCGAACAGG